CGCGGGGUGGAGCAGUGGUAGCUCGUCGGGCUCAUAACCCGAAGGUCGGGGGUUCGAAUCCCUCCCCGCUACCA
rnacentral:tRNA from 1 species